rnacentral:rRNA from 1 species
AGAGCGAACGCUGGCGGCAGGCCUAACACAUGCAAGUCGAGCGCUCCGCAAGGGGAGCGGCAGACGGGAGAGUAACACGUGGGAACGUACCCUUCAGUUCGGAACAACCCAGGGAAACUUGGGCUAAUACCGAAUACGUCCGUAAGGAGAAAGAUUUAUCGCUGAAGGAUCGGCCCGCGUCUGAUUAGCUUGUUGGUGAGGUAACGGCUCACCAAGGCGACGAUCAGUAGCUGGUCUGAGAGGAUGAUCAGCCUCACUGGGACUGAGACACGGCCCAGACUCCUACGGGAGGCAGCAGUGGGGAAUAUUGGACAAUGGGCGCAAGCCUGAUCCAGCCAUGCCGCGUGGGUGAUGAAGGCCCUAGGGUUGUAAAGCCCUUUCGGCGGGGAAGAUAAUGACGGUACCGCAGAAGAAGCCCCGGCUAACUUCGCGCUAGCAGCCGC